CACCUGACCCCAUGCCGAACUCAGAAGUGAAACGCCGUAGCGCCGAUGGUAGUGUGGGGUCUCCCCAUGCGAGAGUAGGACACUGCCAGGC
rnacentral:rRNA from 1 species